CCUACGGGGGGGCAGCAGUGAGGAAUAUUGGUAAAUGGCCGGAAGGCUGAACCAGCCAAGUCGCGUGAGGGACGACUGCCCUAUGGGUUGUAAACCUCUUUUAUAAGGGAAGAAUAAAUGCUACGUGUAGCAUGAUGCCUGUACCUUAUGAAUAAGCAUCGGCUAACUCCGUGCCAGCCGCCGCGGUAAGUCGGAGGAUGGGAGCGUGAUCCGGAUUGAUUGGGUUAAAAGGGUGCGUAGGCGGUCUUUUAAGUUAGUGGUUAAACGUCGGGGCUUCACCUUGAUUUGCCAUUAAUACUGUAAGACUCGAGUUCAGACGAGGUAGGCGGAAUAAGGUAAGUAGCGGUGAAAUGCUUAGAGAUAACUUAGAACUCCGAUAGCGAAGGCAGCUUACCAGACUGCGACUGACGCUGAAGCACGAGAGCGUGGGUAGCGAACAGGAUUAGAUACUCGGGUAGUC
rnacentral:rRNA from 1 species